CUUCCAAUCCCAGCUGAAACCGCACAUCUCACAGAGCUCCCCCUGACCAAUUCCAGGGAAAGUGGGACCCCUCCUUAGUUCCUCUCUCACUCAGAACUGGCUGGUCUUCUUCCUUCACACCACUUGCCAACAUCUCAGAGCUUGUGUCUUCAUAUGCUUAGCACUGGAGUGGCAGAGAGGAGAGGAGGGAUACAGACAGGAUUCUUCCAAAGAUCAGGAAACUGGCUUCAGAGAACCAAAGCAACCUGCCCAAGGUCACACAGCCAGGCCUGGAAUGGAAUCCAGGACUGUCUGGCCUGAAAAUCUGUGCUCUUUCUGCUGGGUCACACUGCUCUCCUGGGGAUAGGACCUUCUGGAGAUGGACAAGGAGUGGGCCCAGCUACGCCUCUGCCUGGCUGAGCGCCGGAACCAGCUGCCCACGCUCAGGCCGACAGCUUCUUCCUUCCAGCCGGACCAGAGGCUCAGAGGCCAGACAAAGAUUUAUCUGUUCCUUCUUCCCCUGGCUUUGGUGGGGUGGGGGGUGGUCUUUGAUUAGACAUGCACACCCCCUAGCACCACCAGAGAAGGGCUGCUGUCUCCUGUACUGCCCAGGGUGCCUGGGGAAUGCAGGGGGCCCCGUGACGCUGUCUGGGUUC
ensembl:lncRNA